UAUAAUCUCAAGUCUUCCAAAGUCAUAAUAUAGAAAGUCAAAUGGGUUUUGGAAUGACAUGAGAGUUAAUUAUUUCAGAAUUGUAAUUUUUGGUGAACUAUUUAAGGACAACAUUUAUUACCUAAUACUUUCGUCCGUACCACCCAGAACCCUUGGAACCCUCCAUGCCCACAUCAGAUGUCCUUCUCUCUCUCCCUCUGUCUCUUGUAACUUUGAGCUCAUUGGUUGUCAUGAUAAGGCCAAGUGUAUUUUUAGCCCACUAUCCUUUCAUAGGGGUGGACACAGGGAGUUAGAAAAUAGAUAUAUACAGACCCUUACAACAGAAAACAAAACUUGGAUGAAUAUCCACUACAAAUCUUUGACAGUAACAGAUAGGCCAGAGGUAUGAGUUACACUAUAGCAAAAGAUGUUAGUUGCUGUAUUUAAAGUGAUGUAAGGAGCGGGAUGACGGAAAUUGUUGUUGAGAAGUUUUCUUUCCAUCAACCUCAAACUGAUCAACAACCAAUUACAACAGAUAAUAGCAACCAAGGCAAACAACCAGAAGAAUCUGCAAUUGUCACAGUGACCACAGACUCAAACAAUGGCACAAAGAAACAAAACUUUGACUUCAAAGUUAAAAACAGUGUGGUGAUAUUUGAGAUUUAAAAUGCAUCUGGAAGCCAUGAGGUGCAGACAAGCGGGAGCGCUGAGAAGAUCAGUCCAGCCAAGAGUGACCAUGGAGGUUCUCAGUUAGUGAAGCAAAAUCAUCCAACCCUUAACCAUUGUACCAUUACAAGACAAUGUGGUUUCAUAUAAGGUAUUGUUGGAGAGUUAUGACACGAAAUUAUGUGAGGAGCAACGGCCGAGCACAAAGCGGCAACUGUCUGUAAGUGUAAGGAAGAGGAGCACUGGGAUAAAGAGCCAAGAGGAGAUUGUGAAACCCCUCUCACUUGCCAGUCUUGGCACACAGCCUGGGAGACGUUAUCUACCUGGAGUCCACACCUCUCAGAGGAAACCCAGAAAACUCCUGUUUUCCAGCACUGAGAUUUUCAACAAAGUAGACACAUAAUCUAUAAAGAAAGGAAAAGAGGGAUACCUUGGUCUUUCUCAGAAGAUUUGCUGUCCUGAUGAGGUCAUCAAGAAGGGAAAGGAUGGAGUUGUGGAGUUGUCCACGCAUUGAGUGUGUGGAAGUGAGUGGGUACAGCAAAGGUGUUGGAUAUAGGGUUGCAGUAGUAUACUGGUUUCACGGUAUACCACGGUAUGAAAAUUGACGGUUUUCAUACCACAUACAUUUGCUUAUCUAGGGUAUUGAGAAAAAAACAAAAUGCAACCGGACGGAGAAUCUCACCUGCACCUGCGCAUCUCCUUUCCUCCUCGACUAACUGUCAGACUCGUCAACUUGUGCCACACAAGUGUUGACUGGGCUCAGUUUAUCUAAUAAGCGUUUGGAUCAUGAGUGGAAUGCCAUCUUUGUUGGGGGUCAGUGGUGGCUUCUUGAUGUGUGCUGGGGGGCUGGCACAGUCAAUAUGAAACCCAAACAUUUAUGAAGAGGUCAGGCUUCUGAGAGUGUCAGUUACACACACUGUAUCAUAUAUACAUAUACAGUAUACAUAGACAAAUAUACCAUGAGUAAUAUUUACAUACAUUUGUGUAAUAAAUACUAUUGCUUGUAAUAGUCAGGUUUGAGAUUUCACACUUGUGUAAACCCACAGUUAACUUUCUUUUUUACAUACAGUAUUAACAAUGAUUAAUUGGACAGAUACCACAUGCUAACUGUUUAAAUAACUGCUUGUCAAUCUGUGGAAAUGUUGCCAUGUAAAUCCAUUUCAGCUGUCUUCAGUCUUUUGAAACAUAAAAAAAUAAAAAAUAAAAUAAUAAUAAUAAUAAUAUCAAAUAUUUCUGUCAGACGCUGAAACUAAACACAGUGUGUAAACGUUUCAUCAACUGUACAAAGCUCAUGAAUAUUUAACAAGGCAAACACUGUUCAGCUUAUGAUUGAUUGUAUGUUGCUAAAUCACUCACUGUAGCAUUAUAGCAUUGUUUCACACUGUAUUCCUUUGGCACUGCAAUUCAGGGUUAGCACUUUAAAUGCAGAGUAAAAACUGUAAGAAGUUGCUUAACCCAGGGAUACAUGAGGCCUUAACCCAGAGUUAAACAAAUAAUAGCCAAACAGUAUAGUGAAUUACACACUUAAGACAAAAAUAUGGAAUAUUAAUGCCUGUCUGUUUCAGGUAUGAUGACUUUUAUUUCCUGACUGAACCUAGUGAGUUCAUAAACUCACAUUUCAAUGAUGAUCAGACCUGACAGCUACUAACCACGCCUAUCUCCAUGGAAGAGUUUGAAACGAGACCCUUGAAGACCUCAGCAUACAAAACAACCACAGACGACAUGGAAUCACUUUUGUCCAUGAGCUCUUCUAGACCGUUGACCUUUUCACACGAGAUGAGGCAGCAGGAUCCCCAGACAGGGGCUCCAAAGCAGGAGGAGGUCGACAGCCCCUGUGGUCUCCUUUCAGUGACUUGUCAAGGGAUGAAGCUGCGAUUACUGCCCUAAGAACCUGGAGCGUAUGAGGUGAACCUAUUUGCCCGGCAAGAGGGUGAACCUGGUGCUCUGCGAUGGGUUUGCUCUUUGGAGCUGGAGUGUCCGAGCAUCCAGCAGAAGCAGUCACUGCCUAAUAACACCUGCCUGAGCUUGGGCUUAGCAGCCGGGUCACUGGCAAUAGGCGUCAAGCGCUGCAGUGUAGGAGGAGAAAAAACUUUUGAAGUGGGUGAAGGUUGGGAGUGCAAGGUGAUCCUACACAUAUCACGACCUCUGACGAUGGUGUGUGAGCUCAUGCACCAUGAGCUCGACGCUGCUGUGGCCAUGCGCUGCCUUGCAUUGCAAAUAGCAGCAGAUCAGCUGGUGUGCAAUGUUAUGUGCCCAUACAAAGGAUUUUACUGUCUUUCUGUGUUCGUGUGGGACUACGACAGCGGAAGUGGCACUUUUCAAAUGGUUGGGAACUAUCUGCUUCAUUGUCGGAGCCAAGGGUUGAAUCCCAAUGCACUGUAUCCUGCUGACCUGGACCUGUGGUGUGGUCCUGGGAUGUGUCCUCAAGAAGCUGGACUCUCCCGCUUCAGCCACACGGGGGCGAUAGUGAAUGCACCACAGGGCCGCUGCAACAUCACCUUCCACUGUGCCUUACCAGACCUGCAAAUACAUGCAACUCUCUGUGCAGAGAGUCCAGGUGCAGAUCAAGACAGGGAGGCCCAUUUACCUCUAUCAUAUGUACUUCUGACAUUUACAGACAUUUAAGUAACUGUGAGUGUGUGCAUGCCUAGAGUCAGAGUCUAUUGGCUUGGACUUUAUGGAAGCAAACCACCUCAACGAGACUAUAUGCUGCUGUGUGACUACAUUAUCAGAAAUGUUUGGAAAUCCAUUCCCUUGUGUGUAUUCAGCAUGGGGAAGAGGGUGUGUUGUUGGAGCCAUGUUCAAUUGUGCUUGCUCCACAAAUGGUGAGUUUUCGAGUCUGGGUACCAGGUGCCCAAAGAGUGUGUGCACGCAACUUAAGCUCACUGCUGUCACCAAAAAAAAAAAAAAAAAAAAAAAACAACAACAAAAACCAAAAAAAAAAACAAUGAUAUGCAUGUUCUCAUGAUCUUUGAUGUCCUUAACCUGGAGAAUGGAGAAUCUGUGAAGAGGACAAAAUAUACAUUCACACUGCAGUUGAAUGUGGCCCAAGUUCUGAUUUUUUUUUUCACUCACUUGUGCAACAUAUCUUUUGGAUGAUAGUGUGAACUGUAAAAAUCAAAUUCAAUCUGACAUGUUUAAUUCUGGGCCACUUUCAUAUGUGGAAAUUAAUCAGAUACAUAUCUCACUUGACUGUGUGAACAUUCAGGUUGUAAUUCAUGCCAGUUUUACAACAAUCUUACUCAACAUUUGUCAUUUGUAUUAUAUAGGUGCAUAACUAUAUUUGUUUAAAAUAUAUAUUAAUGUACAUUCUGUCUCAGAUGUUGUCUAUAGAGCACAACAGUGCCUACCUACCUUUUUAACGGUCUUGGUUUUGGAAUUAUUGUUCCCAUUCAAUUUUUUUUUUUUUUUUUUUCCCAUUAGGAUUUUGUAAAAUCCUUCAUAAAAGAGUUCUAAUCCAUGAACCAAACCAACCAGCUCUAAGGUCUUGAGCUUUGAAUCCAAAAAGUAAAAAAAGAAAAUAAAAAUAAAAAUGGACAAAGGUACAAGACUGUGUAUCGUUCAUGAGAAAAUUAAAUAUAAUUCCAUGAAGCAAAUAAUACAAUCGAAUUAGGAAUGAAAAAUAAAACUAACGAUUUACAGUGGUCGAUUAUACUGUAAGUAUAGAAACAAUACAUUUUAAGUUUACUGCAAAAUAUUCAGAUAUAUACAUAUAUUUAAGUAGUUUGAGAGUGUAGACUGACUUGAUUGUGUCACUCACAGCGCGUCAUAGAAGUGGGUGGCCAUUGCCAGGCCCAGGCUUGUUUGGUGUGUUUUGUUCAACAAAUAACAAAAUAUGAUAUUAUGAUAUUGUGACAUUUGCUAAUGAUGUGAUGAUGAACAUGCCAGGGUGGGUGUUUGAUGUAUGAGGGACAGUUUGCAUUUUUUUUUAGGAUAAAAUCAUAUUUAAAGGUGCACUCAGUCAUUUUUUUCCCCAUUAAAAAAGUUUUACUUCUAAAGAAAUGAAUUUAAAACAUAUGUAUAAAAUCAUGACCACUCACAUGAGAUGAGGACUCUAGACAUAUCAGUACCCUUAUAAAAGCUGUUUUAUUUUACAUGGGGCAGGAGUGCCCUCAUGGGGGCUGCCAUUUUAGAAUCACAUGACCAGCUGAAUACUACUUGCUUAAUCUCAGUCACCGGCUUGUUAUUGGACACUUUCACUCUUGGAUUAAAUUAAUCAUGGCUGAUUGUGAAUAGUGAAUUUCUACAAUGGCAUUUGUAACUGAAAACUAUUGAUUUUGAAUGAUGCUGCAUCCACACCACUAGGUGUCACUGUAAGUCUAAGAUGACAUGAGCAAAAAGUUGCUGAGUGCACCUUUAAGCAGAAAAUUUGAAUUGGGCACUUGCGGUGUCAGGUAUCUUAAAAGAAUGUCUAAAUUAGAGCUAAAGCAUUAUAUCUAAGAAAACAAUGGCAUGGUGUGAUAGUAUCUACUCAUGUUUUUGAAAUAUGCAGUUUGUGAAUGCGAAAUUUGUGUAGUGACACAGACAGCCUAUGUCCUCGCAUGCUCUUAGACACUGAAAGUGUUAGGGACAUUAAAGUUAUUGUCCAUUUUAUACACCAGUCUCCUGGAGUAAUCAAAAGGACAGUGAGGAGCAAACUGCUGUCACUUUCAAAUACAAAAACAAAUUAUACUGUUGUAGCCUAGAGAGAUGGUUUGAUAUGCAUACCAGCACUGCUGUCAUUUCAAACACAGACUGGCUGGUACUGCAUACAACCUGUGUUGAAAUCUCCACUAUGGGGAGCCAUCGGGGACAAGCACGCCUGAGUAAUGUUUACAUGAUGCAGUCAUAACAACCAGUGCAUCAGAAACGGAACCUUGAACUUGUCCCACUGACCAGAAAAACAAUGGCUGCUAUGUGUGCAAAGGGUGGGUAGCAUCUCCAGGGAGAGAUGAAGUGAUCUUAAUGUAAGUUGAGAGAAAUGUGGGUAUUGUAUAAGUAUCUGCAAGAGGGUGAGUGUAGUGUUUUGGACCCAUGGUGGAGCCUAGUAUAUGUUGUAUUAAUGGCCGAGGAUGUAUUGGCAUGCAUGUGUACAAUAGAUGCCUGCGGUGAAUUUACAGUCACAGUAGCCAAUAUGAGAAUUCUGGAUGUGAAUUUUGAGGUAGGCUGGGCAUGGACACAAAGUGAAGGCGAGGAAAAGGAUGUGAAUGGUAAGCCUGAAUUUGACACACAAAACAGUGCUCAAUUACAGUAUAACAGAAACACAUACUAAGUUAUAAAUAGCUUCUGUUGUUGCAGCAAGGCCCAUGAGAUUAGUGUUAAAGCUGGGCUAGGCAUCCUAAAAGAUGUUAUCACCAUUUGAGAAAACCACUGCUGAGAUACAUUUGCACACAAAUACACUUCAUUACCAGUUUUUUGUCUUAAGAACUGUGCUGACAGCUUAUUUCACCAAACAGACCUUAUUCAGAUUUGUGCUUUGAUUUUUGACGGGAAUGAAAAUGAAGUUGUGAGGGACAGAAGUACAGACUAUUCAAUGGCAUGCACUGUAUAAAAGUCCAGAUCACAUCUAAAUAAAAAAAAAUUAAAAAUAAUAAAAAAAAUUGUGUGUGUGUAAAAGAUGUUUUUUCAAUGUUUCAUCAGC